rfam:Candidatus Nanopusillus sp. Nst1 Nst1_C3, whole genome shotgun sequence.
GGGACCGUGGUCUAGUGGCUAUGACGCCACCCUUACAAGGUGGAGGUCCGGGGUUCGAAUCCCCGCGGUCCCA